GCCGAUCAGCUGUGGCAUGAGGGCUACAGCCCCGACGCAGGUGUAAACAUCCGUGUGGCUCUGACACUCCUACACGAGAAUGCUUCUUGGAUUUGCCGUAAAACAGACUAAAAGAACGACAGGUGAAGUUGGCUCCUUCCGGUGGGUUCUCACUCUGGCUGACUUCAAGAAUUAAGCCGGGGAUCUUCUCGGUGAGGAGCCCUCCAGACCUGCUCCAUAGCGACGGCAGGACCUGCCUCCCAGCAGAGCAGAGAUGAGCUAGUCAGGAGCAGGAGAAAUGAUCUUCAGACUCUGGGGCCCAGCAUUCCCCAGGUUUCCUGCAGGUCUCAAAAUCUAUCUUGAACAAACUUGCUUACAUCAUUUAUUUUUAAAUAAAAAAGAACCACUAUUGGGAGAAGGUAGUGCUUGAUUUUUUCUUCUUGGCAGAGUUCAUUCCAUAGCCUG
rnacentral:lncRNA from 10 species